rnacentral:rRNA from 1 species
GAUGAACGCUGGCGGCGUGCCUAAUACAUGCAAGUCGAGCGAACGGACGAGAAGCUUGCUUUUCUGAUGUUAGCGGCGGACGGGUGAGUAACACGUGGAUAACCUACCUAUAAGACUGGGAUAACUUCGGGAAACCGGAGCUAAUACCGGAUAAUAUUUUGAACCGCAUGGUUCACAAGCUAAAGACGGUCUUGCUGUCACUUAUAGAUGGAUCCGCGCUGCAUUAGCUAGUUGUUAAGGUAACGGCUUACCAAGGCAACGAUGCAUAGCCGGCCUGAGAGGAUGAGCGGCCACAAGGGAACUGAGACACGGUCCAGACUCCUACGGGAGGCAGCAGUAGGGAAUCUUCCGCAAUGGGCGAAAGCCUGACGGAGCAACGCCACGUGAGUGAUGAAGGUCUUCGGAUCGUAAAACUCUGUUAUUAGGGAGGAAAAUAUGUGUAAGUAACUGUGCACAACUUGACGGUACCUAAUCAGAAAGCCACGGCUAACUACGUG